AGCAGCCGCGGUAAUUCCAGCUCCAAUAGCGUAUAUUAAAGUUGUUGCAGUUAAAAAGCUCGUAGUUGAAUUUCGGAAUCGAUGGAUCGGUCACGCCAUUCGGUGUGUACUGGUUUAAUUGGUUCUCACCUUCUAAGGAACCGUGAUGUCAUUAAUUUGGUGUCGCGGGGAAUUAGGACUGUUACCUUGAAAAAAUUAGAGUGUUUAAAGCAAGCUCACGCUUGAAUACAUUAGCAUGGAAUAAUGAAAUAGGACAUUGUAUUCUAUUUUGUUGGUUUCUAGGAUCGAUGUAAUGAUUAAUAGGGAUAGUUGGGGGCAUUAGUAUUCAAUUGUCAGAGGUGAAAUUCUUGGAUUUAUUGAAGGCUAACUACUGCGAAAGCAUUUGCCAAGGAUGUUUUCAUUAAUCAAGAACGAAAGUUAGGGGAUCGAAGACGAUCAGAUACCGUCGUA
rnacentral:rRNA from 1 species